rnacentral:rRNA from 1 species
UUCCUACGGGUGGCUGCAGUGGGGAAUAUUGGACAAUGGGCGAAAGCCUGAUCCAGCCAUGCCGCGUGUGUGAAGAAGGUCUUCGGAUUGUAAAGCACUUUAAGUUGGGAGGAAGGGCAGUAAGUUAAUACCUUGCUGUUUUGACGUUACCGACAGAAUAAGCACCGGCUAACUUCGUGCCAGCAGCCGCGGUAAUACGAAGGGUGCAAGCGUUAAUCGGAAUUACUGGGCGUAAAGCGCGCGUAGGUGGUUCGUUAAGUUGGAUGUGAAAGCCCCGGGCUCAACCUGGGAACUGCAUCCAAAACUGGCGAGCUAGAGUAUGGCAGAGGGUGGUGGAAUUUCCUGUGUAGCGGUGAAAUGCGUAGAUAUAGGAAGGAACACCAGUGGCGAAGGCGACCACCUGGGCUAAUACUGACACUGAGGUGCGAAAGCGUGGGGAGCAAACAGGAUUAGAUACCCUUGUAGUCCCG